rnacentral:rRNA from 1 species
GACGAACGCUGGCGGCGUGCCUAACACAUGCAAGUCGAACGGGGUGAGAUCCUUCGGGAUUUCACUUAGUGGCGAACGGGUGAGUAACGCGUGAGGAACCUGCCUUUCAGUGGGGGGCAACAGUUGGAAACGACUGCUAAUACCGCAUAAUACAGUCGAGCGGCAUCGCUUGACUGUCAAAGCUUUAUGUGCUGCAUGACACAGUGUGGAAAACUCCGGUGGUACAAGAUGGAUUCGCGUCUGAUUAGAUAGUUGGUGAGGUAACGGCUCACCAAGUCGACGAUCAGUAGCCGGUCUGAGAGGAUGAACGGCCACAUUGGGACUGAGAUACGGCCCAGACUCCUACGGGAGCAGCAGUGGGGAAUAUUGGGCAAUGGGGGAAACCCUGACCCAGCAACGCCGCGUGAAGGAGAAGGCUCGGUGUAAACUUCUUUUACCAGGGACGAAGAACGUGACGGUACCU